CUACGUCGCGAUUUUUCUACGUCAGUCUCUCUCUACAGUAGAACCGCGACAUCCGUAAAGUUCAGCUCGUUUCACUCUGAGAGAAUUUUCCGGGUUUUCUUUUGAGGUUUUAAGGCGGUUUUCGAGCGUUUUACGUGGCUGGCGUACCUCAGGCGUUUUCCGGGUUGGGCGUUAACAAACCUCAACACUUCCUCUGGUAGAGGCCUCCAAGGCUAGAAAGAUUUCAUCAAAGAGCAAAGGCGAAUUCGAUUCCCUUUCGCGAUGGUUUUCACCGGAUCUGUGCCCGCCCAAGCAGCGUCAUGGCGAGAAACUUCUCAGCAGCACCACCAGCACGUCGUACCGCAUUUAUCCAAUCGAUAUCCAGAACCGCUCGGCGAGUACCAACAGCCCCAGUCACUGUACGGAGAUCCCCCCCUCCUCCACCGUGGACCUGAGCGACCUCUUGGACCUGGAGUUCGAAAGUCGCUUGGUAAACAGCCUACGGGAACAAGAUCAGAUUACGGUGACGGUGGAACAGGAACGGGAAAACUGUGCCUGGGAAACUGUUCGAUUCGAAUUAUUGUAAAAGUGUUUUUUUUUCUAUGUAUAGUGUGAGGUGAGGAGGCUUUCCUCAACAUCCCUCUGAACAGGACAGGACUUACACGUAUCUAUUUUUUUUUUUUACUAAUUAAAUGGUUGUUUUUUUCUU